CGUGGGUAACCUGCCCAAGAGAUCGGGAUAACACCUGGAAACAGAUGCUAGUACCGGAUAACAACAGAUGAUGCCUAUCAACUGUUUAAAAGAUGGUUCUGCUAUCACUCUUGGAUGGACCUGCGGUGCAUUAGCUAGUUGGUAGGGUAACGGCCUACCAAGGCGAUGAUGCAUAGCCGAGUUGAGAGACUGAUCGGCCACAUUGGGACUGAGACACGGCCCAAACUCCUACGGGAGGCAGCAGUC
rnacentral:rRNA from 1 species